CUUUCUAGUCCCAUAACCUCCCAGUUUAUCGUUCGUUUCGGCCACCCAACCUGGAGACAGCAGUUGUGAAAUCUUCCCAGGCAUGUAGCUUGGCAGGUCGCCAUCAGGACUACUAGGACAGACCUGACCAAAAGUCUCACUCACUGAGCUCUCCGACCACCCUGGGGUGUCCACACACGGUUCCUCCCAUGAGAGCAGCAACUUGUUCAGAGAGCUCUUCAUAUCACCUUGGAAAAAGAUGAAAAAUGCAGUGGAAAAAUGAACAAGGGAUCUGAGUGUCAAUCAUAAACACUCAAACCUGUUCAACUUCACUUAGAAUUAGAGACUUGGAAAUCGCUGUCCAUGAAGAACCCAUCUUAAAUGGCAAGGAUCACAAGUUUGGCCACAUGCCUUACAAAAUGUUUCUAUGUAUCUGAGACAGAUGGAUGGGCUUCAAUCUAGAUCUCAGCAUCCUGCCUCAGCAUCCUAGGGUUCAAAGAUAAUUGUGCACCACCACGCCCUGUUUCUGUCACAACUCUGAAAGAAGUUCUGCAAAACACAAAUGUGUGUCCCACCUCAGCUCCAAGCAACACCUGAGGCCUGGAUGGUGACACCCAUAUCAACAACCAAAGACCUGCCACUGCCAACCCAGAUGCUCUGAGAGACCUUUGUCUGGAAGCCAUCCUCACUAGCGAUUGUAUUAGCUCAGAUUUGGAUCCCAUCAUUAAACUUUACUCUUUGACU